rnacentral:sRNA from 1 species
AACUCUUCUUAUACCCUCCAGUGAACUGUCCGGCCUAGCCGCAUAUACAAACUCUUGUGUCGUCUAUGUAUGUCUAGUUAUUCAUAACAAGUAUAACUUUUAGCAACGGAUCUCUUGGCUCUCGCAUCGAUGAAGAACGCAGCGAAAUGCGAUAAGUAAUGUGAAUUGCAGAAUUCAGUGAAUCAUCGAAUCUUUGAACGCACCUUGCGCCGUCGGCAGUCUUUGACUGCCAUGGCAUGCCAGUUUGAGCGCCUUAACAGCUUUGCGCUGCGGCUGUGGUCGCAGAGCAGACUUGAGUGCUGCUGACUUGUCAGCUCGCUCUGAAAGCAUUAGCUUCUUGAAAGCCUAAGCAACGUGAUAAGUAUCUUCGUUGUGACUGGCCUGAAAGGACGCUCAGAACCGUCUUCGGACAACACCCAAUGCUAGGCAUCAAAUU